UACGUAGGGGGCAAGCGUUGUCCGGAUUUAUUGGGCGUAAAGCGCACGCAGGCGGUCUCUUAAGUUUCGAGUGACAGGUCAGGGCUUAACCCUGGCAGGCCUUGGAAAACUGGGAGACUUGAGGGCUUCAGAGGGACGCGGAAUUCCAGGUGGAGCGGUGAAAUGCGUAGAGAUCUGGAAGAACAUCAGUGGCGAAGGCGGUCUGCUGGGCCGUUGCUGACGCUGAGGCGCGACAGCGUGGGGAGCAAACAGG
rnacentral:rRNA from 1 species